GACGAACGCUGGCGGCGUGCUUAACACAUGCAAGUCGAACGGAAAGGCCCUGCUUUUGUGGGGUGCUCGAGUGGCGAACGGGUGAGUAACACGUGAGUAACCUGCCCUUGACUUUGGGAUAACUUCAGGAAACUGGGGCUAAUACCGGAUAGGAGCUCCUGCUGCAUGGUGGGGGUUGGAAAGUUUCGGCGGUUGGGGAUGGACUCGCGGCUUAUCAGCUUGUUGGUGGGGUAGUGGCUUACCAAGGCUUUGACGGGUAGCCGGCCUGAGAGGGUGACCGGCCACAUUGGGACUGAGAUACGGCCCAGACUCCUACGGGAGGCAGCAGUGGGGAAUAUUGCACAAUGGGCGGAAGCCUGAUGCAGCAACGCCGCGUGCGGGAUGACGGCCUUCGGGUUGUAAACCGCUUUCGCCUGUGACGAAGCGUGAGUGACGGUAAUGGGUAAAGAAGCACCGGCUAACUACGUGCCAGCAGCCGCGGUGAUACGUAGGGUGCGAGCGUUGUCCGGAUUUAUUGGGCGUAAAGGGCUCGUAGGUGGUUGAUCGCGUCGGAAGUGUAAUCUUGGGGCUUAACCCUGAGCGUGCUUUCGAUACGGGUUGACUUGAGGAAGGUAGGGGAGAAUGGAAUUCCUGGUGGAGCGGUGGAAUGCGCAGAUAUCAGGAGGAACACCAGUGGCGAAGGCGGUUCUCUGGGCCUUUCCUGACGCUGAGGAGCGGAAGCGUGGGGAGCGAACAGGCUUAGAUACCCUGGUAGUCCACGCUGUAAACGGUGGGUACUAGGUGUGGGGUCCAUUCCACGGGUUCCGUGCCGUAGCUAACGCUUUAAGUACCCCGCCUGGGGAGUACGGCCGCAAGGCUAAAACUCAAAGGAAUUGACGGGGCCCCGCACAAGCGGCGGAGCAUGCGGAUUAAUUCGAUGCAACGCGUAGAACCUUACCUGGGUUUGACAUGGAUCGGGAGCGCUCAGAGAUGGGUGUGCCUCUUUUGGGGUCGGUUCACAGGUGGUGCAUGGCUGUCGUCAGCUCGUGUCGUGAGAUGUUGGGUUAAGUCCCGCAACGAGCGCAACCCUUGUUCACUGUUGCCAGCACGUUAUGGUGGGGACUCAGUGGAGACCGCCGGGGUCAACUCGGAGGAAGGUGGGGAUGACGUCAAGUCAUCAUGCCCCUUAUGUCCAGGGCUUCACGCAUGCUACAAUGGCUGGUACAGAGAGUGGCGAGCCUGUGAGGGUGAGCGAAUCUCGGAAAGCCGGUCUCAGUUCGGAUUGGGGUCCGCAACUCGACCUCAUGAAGUCGGAGUCGCUAGUAAUCGCAGAUCAGCAACGCUGCGGUGAAUACGUUCCCGGGGCU
rnacentral:rRNA from 1 species